rnacentral:rRNA from 1 species
UACGAAGGUCCCAAGCGUUGUUCGGAAUCACUGGGCGUAAAGGGAGCGUAGGCGGCGUGGUAAGUCAGAUGUGAAAUCCCGGGGCUCAACCCCGGAACUGCAUCCGAUACUGCCAUGCUUGAGGGUUGGAGAGGUAGCUGGAAUUAUCGGUGUAGCAGUGAAAUGCGUGGAUAUCGAUAGGAACACUCGUGGCGAAGGCGAGCUACUGGACAACAUCUGACGCUGAGGCUCGCAGGCUAGGGGAGCAAAAGGG